rnacentral:tRNA from 1 species
CAGGGAGACAACAACUGAUCGUGAUGUCUGAGUACUUUAUUCUCAGGCCAUGAUCCUGUCAUCUCGAAGGUCGAUCGGUACCUCAACUUCAAGGUUGAGAUGAAUGAGAUACCUCGGUAAGUCAUUCAUGCUCAGGUCUUGAUUUUUAGUUCCUAAACGUUGUCUAGGUCACCCCAUAGAGGGUUCACUUCCUGGGCCAUUAGCUCAGGUGGUUAGAGCGCACCCCUGAUAAGGGUGAGGUCCCUGGUUCAAGUCCAGGAUGGCCCAUGCCAAGGUCCAGUAAUGGAUCCAUUGGGGGUUUAGCUCAGUUGGUAGAGCGCCUGCUUUGCAAGCAGGAUGUCAGCGGUUCGAGUCCGCUAACCUCCACUAACAUCUGAACUCCUGAAGCAGGAAGCAAUUCUUGUGAGGUGACAUAGACGUUGUUCGCUGAUCAAGAGCACUCGAGAGAUCGAGUGGAGUUCAGCCUCAGAUCAUUCCCCAGUCUUUGAUCCACCGAUCAAGGUUGAGAUGGUUGAUCUGAUGCUGGAUUCAGCGAAGGAGCCUCGCGAGGGGCUUUUUCAAUGGUAUUCAGCAGAACCUUGACAACUGCAUAGGUGAGUCUGGAAAGACAAAGCAUCUCAUAGAGGCGAGAUGAUGACGUCUGAUGUUCCAUCAUUGAUGGAUGAUCAGGUUGAGUCAACUCGUGAUUCUAUUUUUGAGAGCCGAGACCUUCUAGCGUUCUUCCCAAUCCGCCGAGUUGCGGGGUCUUUGCGGGGAGUUUGAUCCUUGCUUGAUAGUCCUGUUAUCUUUUGAUUGGGAAACCAAUCAAUAGCGAAGCUGCUUGCCAAAUUUGAGAGAAUAGGCCUCAACAGCCUGAAGCGUUAGGAGGAUACAUUU